AGAGCGAACGCUGGCGGCAGGCCUAACACAUGCAAGUCGAGCGGUCGUAGCAAUACGGCAGCGGCAGACGGGAGAGUAACACGUGGGAACGCGCCCUUCGGUUCGGAAUAACUCAGGGAAACUUGGGCUAAUACCGGAUACGCCCUUACGGGGAAAGAUUUAUUGCCGAAGGAACGGCCCGCGUCCGAUUAGCUUGUUGGUGAGGUAACGGCUCACCAAGGCGACGAUCGGUAGCUGGUCUGAGAGGAUGACCAGCCUCACUGGGACUGAGACACGGCCCAGACUCCUACGGGAGGCAGCAGUGGGGAAUAUUGGACAAUGGGCGCAAGCCUGAUCCAGCCAUGCCGCGUGAGUGAUGAAGGCCUUAGGGUUGUAAGCUCUUUCGCCCGCGACGAUGAUGACGGUAGCGGGAGAAGAGCCCCGGCUAACUUCGUGCCAGCAGCCGC
rnacentral:rRNA from 1 species